rnacentral:rRNA from 1 species
AGAUUGAACGCUGGCGGCAGGCCUAACACAUGCAAGUCGAGCGGUAGAGAGGUGCUUGCACCUCUUGAGAGCGGCGGACGGGUGAGUAAUGCCUAGGAAUCUGCCUAGUGGUGGGGGAUAACGUUCGGAAACGGACGCUAAUACCGCAUACGUCCUACGGGAGAAAGCGGGGGACCUUCGGGCCUCGCGCCAUUAGAUGAGCCUAGGUCGGAUUAGCUAGUUGGUGAGGUAAUGGCUCACCAAGGCGACGAUCCGUAACUGGUCUGAGAGGAUGAUCAGUCACACUAGGAACUGAGACACGGUCCAGACUCCGUA